rnacentral:rRNA from 1 species
AGAGUUUGAUCCUGGCUCAGGACNNACGCUGGCGGCGUGCCUAACACAUGCAAGUCGAGCGAAGGGAGUACUACGGUACGAACUUAGCGGCGGACGGGUGAGUAACGCGUGGACAAUCUACCCUGUAGACUGGGAUAACACCUCGAAAGGGGUGCUAAUACCGGAUAAUGUCGAGAAGCGGCAUCGCUUUUCGAAGAAAGGAGGGAAUCCGCUAUAGGAGGAGUCCGCGUCCCAUUAGCUAGUUGGUGAGGGUAACGGCCCACCAAGGCGACGAUGGGUAGCCGGCCUGAGAGGGUGAACGGCCACACUGGAACUGAGACACGGUCCAGACUCCUACGGGAGGCAGCAGUGGGGAAUAUUGUGCAAUGGGGGAAACCCUGACACAGGGACGCCGCGUGAGUGAAGAAGGCCUUCGGGUCGUAAAGCUCAAUAGUAUGGGAAGAAAGAAAUGACGGUACCAUACGAAAGCCCCGGCUAACUACGUGCCAGCAGCCGCGGUAAUACGUAGGGGGCGAGCGUUGUCCGGAAUUACUGGGCGUAAAGAGCACGUAGGCGGCUAUAAAAGUCAGAUGUGAAAAACCUGGGCUCAACCGAGGGUAUGCAUCUGAAACUAAAUAGCUUUGAGUCAAGGAGAGGAGAGCGGAAAUUCCUUGGUGUAGCGGUUGAAAUGC